GUGGGGAAUAUUGGUCAAUGGGGGAAACCCUGAACCAGCAACGCCGCGUGAAGGAAGAAGGCUUUCGGGUUGUAAACUUCUUUGACAGGGGACGAAACAAAUGACGGUACCCUGAAAACAAGCCACGGCUAACUACGUGCCAGCAGCCGCGGUAAUACGUAGGUGGCAAGCGUUGUCCGGAUUUACUGGGUGUAAAGGGCGUGUAGCGGGACGGUAAGUCAGAUGUGAAAUGUAGGGGCUCAACCCCUGAACUGCAUUUGAAACUAUCGUUCUUGAGUGAUGGAGAGGCAGGCGGAAGUCCGUGUGUAGCGGUGAAAUGCGUAGAUAUACGGAGGAACACCAGUGGCGAAGGCGGCCUGCUGGACAUUAACUGACGCUGAGGCGCGAAAGCGUGGGGAGCAAACAGGAUUAGAAACCCGUGUAGUCC
rnacentral:rRNA from 1 species